rnacentral:rRNA from 1 species
AGAGCUCGUAGGCGGUUUGUCGCGUCUGCCGUGAAAGUCCGGGGCUUAACUCCGGAUCUGCGGUGGGUACGGGCAGACUUGAGUGAUGUAGGGGAGACUGGAAUUCCUGGUGUAGCGGUGAAAUGCGCAGAUAUCAGGAGGAACACCGAUGGCGAAGGCAGGUCUCUGGGCAUUAACUGACGCUGAGGAGCGAAAGCAUGGGGAGCGAACAGGAUUAGAUACCCUGGUAGUCCAUGCCGUAAACGUUGGGCACUAGGUGUGGGGGACAUUCCACGUUUUCCGCGCCGUAGCUAACGCAUUAAGUGCCCCGCCUGGGGAGUACGGCCGCAAGGCUAAAACUCAAAGGAAUUGACGGGGGCCCGCACAAGCGGCGGAGCAUGCGGAUUAAUUCGAUGCAACGCGAAGAACCUUACCAAGGCUUGACAUGAACCGGAACGGCGCAGAGAUGUGUCGGCCACUUGUGGCCGGUUUACAGGUGGUGCAUGGUUGUCGUCAGCUCGUGUCGUGAGAUGUUGGGUUAAGUCCCGCAACGAGCGCAACCCUCGUUCCAUGUUGCCAGCGGGUUAUGCCGGGGACUCAUGGGAGACUGCCGGGGUCAACUCGGAGGAAGGUGGGGACGACGUCAAAUCAUCAUGCCCCUUAUGUCUUGGGCUUCACGCAUGCUACAAUGGCCGGUACAAAGGGUUGCGAUGCUGUGAGGUGGAGCUAAUCCCAAAAAGCCGGUCUCAGUUCGGAUUGAGGUCUGCAACUCGACCUCAUGAAGUCGGAGUCGCUAGUAAUCGCAGAUCAGCAACGCUGCGGUGAUACGUUCCCGGGCCUUGUACACACCGCCCGUCAAGUCACGAAAGUGUACACCCGAAGCCGGUGGCUAACCCUUUUGGGGGGAGCC